rnacentral:rRNA from 1 species
GUAGGUGGCAAGCGUUGCCCGGAAUUAUUGGGCGUAAAGCGCGCGCAGGCGGUUCUUUAAGUCUGAUGUGAAAGCCCACGGCUCAACCGUGGAGGGUCAUUGGAAACUGGAGAACUUGAGUACAGAAGAGGAAAGCGGAAUUCCACGUGUAGCGGUGAAAUGCGUAGAGAUGUGGAGGAACACCAGUGGCGAAGGCGGCUUUCUGGUCUGUAACUGACGCUGAGGCGCGAAAGCGUGGGGAGCAAACAGGAUUAGAUACCCUGGUAGUCCACACCGUAAACGAUGAGUGCUAAGUGUUAGGGGGUUUCCGCCCCCCUUAGUGCUGCAGCUAACGCAUUAAGCACUCCGCCUGGGAGUACGACCGCAAGGUUG